rnacentral:rRNA from 1 species
CCUACGGGAGGCAGCAGUGAGGAAUAUUGGUCAAUGGGCGGAAGCCUGAACCAGCCAAGUAGCGUGAAGGAUGACUGCCCUACGGGUUGUAAACUGCUUUUAUACGGGAAUAAAAUGCUCCACGUGUGGGAUUCUGUAGGUACCAUAUGAAUAAGGACCGGCUAACUCCGUGCCAGCAGCCGCGGUAAUACGGAGGAUCCGAGCGUUAUCCGGAUUUAUUGGGGUUAAAGGGAGCGUAGGUGGGUGGUUAAGUCAGUUGUGAAAGUUGGCGGCUCAACCGUAAAAUUGCAGUUGAAACUGGACGUCUUGAGUACAGUAGAGGUAGGCGGAAUUCGUGGUGUAGCGGUGAAAUGCUUAGAUAUCACGAAGAACUCCGAUUGCGAAGGCAGCUUGCUGGACUGCGACUGACGCUGAGGCUCGAAAGUGUGGGUAUCAAACAGGAUUAGAUACCCUUGUAGUC